UACGUAGGGUGCAAGCGUUAAUCGGAAUUACUGGGUUUAAAGGGUGCGUAGGUGGACAAUUAAGUCAGUGGUGAAAUCUCCGGGCUUAACCCGGAAACUGCCAUUGAUACUACUUGUCUUGAAUACUUUGGAGGUAAGCGGAAUAUGUCAUGUAGCGGUGAAAUGCUUAGAUAUGACAUAGAACACCAAUUGCGAAGGCAGCUUACUACACAGUAAUUGACACUGAGGCACGAAAGCGUGGGGAUCAAACAGG
rnacentral:rRNA from 1 species